UCGGUUUCUGGGGCUCCUCUAGAGAUUAGAGUUUGAUCAUGGCUCAGAACGAACGCUGGCGGCGUGCCUAACACAUGCAAGUCGAACGAGAAAUUCCGAUUCGUCGGAAGAGUAGAGUGGCGAACGGGUGAGUAACGCGUGGGUAAUCUUCCCUUGAGUUCGGGAUAACUUCGCGAAAGCGGAGCUAAUACCGAAUAAAACUGACCUUGUUCCGGCAAGAUCAGUAAAAGAUGGCCUCUACAUGUAAGCUGUCGCUUGAGGAUGAGCCCGUGUACCAUUAGCUUGUUGGUAGGGUAAUGGCCUACCAAGGCUACGAUGGUUAGCUGGUCUGAGAGGAUGAUCAGCCACACUGGAACUGAGACACGGUCCAGACUCCUACGGGAGGCAGCAGUGGGGGAUUUUGCGCAAUGGGGGAAGCCCUGACGCAGCGACGCCGUGUGAGUGAUGAAGGCCUUCGGGUCGUAAAGCUCUGUCAGGUGGGAAGAAAUAUCUCGAUACGAAUAAUAUCGGGGUUUGACGGUACCACCAAAGGAAGCACCGGCUAACUCCGUGCCAGCAGCCGCGGUAAUACGGAGGGUGCAAGCGUUGUUCGGAAUUAUUGGGCGUAAGAGCGUGUAGGCGGUUGAACAAGUCAGAUGUGAAAUCCCUCGGCUCAACCGAGGAAGUGCAUUUGAAACUGUCAGCUUGAGUACGGGAGAGGAGAGCGGAAUUCCCGGUGUAGAGGUGAAAUUCGUAGAUAUCGGGAGGAACACCGGUGGCGAAGGCGGUUCUCUGGCCCGAUACUGACGCUGAGACGCGAAAGCGUGGGGAGCAAACAGGAUUAGAUACCCUGGUAGUCCACGCCGUAAACGACGGGCACUAGGUGUAGGAGGUACUGAAUCCUUCUGUGCCGAAGCUAACGCAUUAAGUGCCCCGCCUGGGGAGUACGGCCGCAAGGCUAAAACUCAAAGGAAUUGACGGAGGCCCGCACAAGCGGUGGAGCAUGUGGUUUAAUUCGAUGCAACGCGAAGAACCUUACCUGGGUUUGACAUCCCCGGACAGUCCUGGAAACAGGAUCUUCCCCUUCGGGGGACCGGGUGACAGGUGCUGCAUGGCUGUCGUCAGCUCGUGUCGUGAGAUGUUGGGUUAAGUCCCGCAACGAGCGCAACCCUCGUCCUUAUUUGCCAGCAUUAAGUUGGGCACUAUAAGGAAACUGCCGGUGUUAAGCCGGAGGAAGGUGGGGAUGACGUCAAGUCCUCAUGGCCUUUAUACCCAGGGCUACACACGUGCUACAAUGGCCGGUACAAAGGGUCGCAAUCUCGCGAGGGGGAGCUAACCUCAAAAAGCCGGUCCCAGUUCGGAUUGGAGUCUGCAACUCGACUCCAUGAAGGUGGAAUCGCUAGUAAUCGUGGAUCAGCAUGCCACGGUGAAUACGUUCCCGGGCCUUGUACACACCGCCCGUCACACCAUGAGAGCUGACUGUACCAGAAGUCGCUGGGCUAACCCCUGAGCUUGUCGAAGGGGAGGUAGGCGCCUAAGGUAUGGUUGGUAAUUGGGGUGAAGUCGUAACAAGGUAACCGUA
rnacentral:rRNA from 2 species